AUGCUUAAAAUUGAUCUUGCUAAAGCUUUCGAUCGUUUAGAAUGGAACUUCAUUGUUUCUGCUCUAGCACGUAAAGGGUUGCAUGAUCAUUUCAUAAAUUUGAUGUACACGUGUAUUUCUUCUCCUUUUUCUGUGGUCAUUAAUGGUCAACCUUCGCACAAAUUUAGAAGUUCUAGGUGUAUUCGUCAAGGUUGUCCUAUGUUCCCUUAUUUGUUUGUGAUUGCCAUUAAUGAGUCGUCUCUUGCUCUCAAUGAGGCUCUUGCUACUAACAAUCUGCAGGGAAUUUCACUUGGACCAAAUUGCACCCCUAUUCACUCUCUGUUGUUUGCAGACGACUUGCUUAUUUGUGGGCAAGCUACUGUUCAGGAAGCUACCUCAAUGGCCCAACUCAUCCGCCAUUUCUGCUCCAUUGCAGGUCAAACACCAAACAUGACCAAAUCUGCCAUAAUGUUUAGUUCUCAUGGUAGUCCAGCUGUCAUUCAUGAGUUAAAGCAGAUAUUUCCUGUUCCUAAUAUUGACAACAGUUUUUCCCACCUUGGUCAUCCACUUAUUCUCCCGUCUAAGAAUAGAACUGCAGCUUAUAAUUUUGUCCUGGAUAAAUUUGUAAACAAGUUGCCUACUUACAAGGCCAACAUGCUCUCUCAUGCGGCUAGGCUUGAACUGAUUCGAUCUGUUUUCUCUGCUAUACCUGUCUACUAUAUGGCCAAUAUCUUGUUUUCUAAGAAUUUUUUAGACAAACUCACUGCUAUUAUUAGGAUUUUUUGGUGGACAGGUGUUAGGGACAAUAUUUCUGGCAGGAGUCUUUGUCUUAGGGCUUGGAAGGAUAUUUGUAACUCAAAGCAAGAAGGUGGACUUGGUGUUCGAAAUUUGUAG
rnacentral:rRNA from 1 species